AUUGAACGCUGGCGGCAUGCUUUACACAUGCAAGUCGAACGGUAACAGGCCGCAAGGUGCUGACGAGUGGCGAACGGGUGAGUAAUGCAUCGGAACGUGCCCAGUCGUGGGGGAUAACUGCUCGAAAGAGCAGCUAAUACCGCAUACGAUCUAUGGAUGAAAGCGGGGGACCGUAAGGCCUCGCGCGAUUGGAGCGGCCGAUGUCAGAUUAGGUAGUUGGUGGGGUAAAGGCUCACCAAGCCAACGAUCUGUAGCUGGUCUGAGAGGGCGACCAGCCACACUGGGACUGAGACACGGCCCAGACUCCUACGGGAGGCAGCAGUGGGGAAUUGUGGACAAUGGGGGCAACCCUGAUCCAGCAAUGCCGCGUGCAGGAAGAAGGCCUUCGGGUUGUAAACUGCUUUUGUACGGAACGAAACGGUCUGGGUUAAUACCCUGGGCUAAUGACGGUACCGUAAGAAUAAGCACCGGCUAACUACGUGCCAGCAGCCGCAGUAACAC
rnacentral:rRNA from 1 species